GUUUCUCCUGCGCAUCCAGCUCAAGUUCAGACAAAAGAAGACGAAAGCUUUAUGGCAAAGCCUCAGUGAAAGUGAAGCUCUGCCAGCUCUCAGUCUGUCUAGACUGAAGGACAAUGCUUGUGGAGCUAGCACAAAAUCUUGCUUGUCUCCAGCCUGGAGUGCAAAAGCAUUGCAAGCUCACAUAGGCACAUCAUCUCUGAGCUGUCAGUGCUUUGGUGCCAGGCCUGCCUUGCUGCUGGGCUUCAUGCUUUACUGCUCUUGUUCAGCCGGUCCCCAAGGACUCUGCCCUCCUGUGGAGAAAAUGGGAAGAAAAGAUGUUUGGGAGAGUGAGUCCUGAAGAGACAGUGGUGACGGCUUGCCACUGCCGCACACUCUUCUUUGCUGCCACUGAUGGCUAAUUAGCAAAUCCUGUCUGCAAUUUGUCUGUUAGCUCUCUUAGCUUCCUUACUGUUGCAGUCUUUCAGUGUAUGCCGUUCCUCGUGUUGCGUCCACACUGCCAUCCCAAAAUGAGCAAGAAGAGCUGAGCUCAUCUCCUUGUCUUCCCUUGUACUUUUCACAACAAUGCUUUGUACCUCUGUUUGCAUGCUGCAUUCUCUAGGAGGGAGGUUUGCCAUUCAAAAACAUUUGCUUCCUGAGCUAGCAAAAAGAGGAUGAUUAUAAAACUUCAAGUACCUCUGAUGCUCAUGCAGUACAGAAGAGGCUGGGUUCUUUUUUAAUUAAUGAGUCUGGCCCCUCCUUUUAAAAGAUGAUUCUUUGUAUGGUGAGGGAUUUGUUCCAGCUCAACAUAUUUCUCAUCAAAUGUGGAUGAGCCGCACACCUUCAGUAUCCAAGCUCUGAUCGUUUUCAACUGAUUAAAAAAAAGAAAAAAAGCUGUAAGUAGCUGCAGCUUACUUGGAUGCUGCCUGGAAGAGUUUGUAGAAGCGCUGUUGUCUUAAGGCAACAGAGAAGGCUGGAGCUGAGACUUGGCAAUGUGUAAGCUCUGGGAGUCUCUGUAGGAGCUGAAAGCCACAUAUUGCUGGAUGCCUUCAUCUCUGUGGCUUUUGUGAUGAUGUACCAGGAAUGGUGCUGUAAGCAGCCCUCUGACAGCUUCUCUGGUGUGUGAAUUCCUGAGCCGUGCUGUGCCCAUGGCCAUACUUCUGUGGGGCUCUGCUGUUCUCACUGGAGGAGCUCGGGUACAAGCUUCUCUCUAUGACUGAAAAAUAUUUGCUGCAAAAGGGUUGAGACCCAAUCAUGGGAUGUCAGUGUAGCUGUAGCCUUGGCCAGGCAGAAGUUCUUCUGUCAUGCCAAUGUCAAACCCCUGGUCCGUAGACCUCGUAGAAAUUCAGAAGGAGAUCCGCAAGUGGAGCCUUAGGCUGUCCUUGAUUUAUCUUCCAGAUUUAAAAGCAAAAAAUGAUAGUCCCAACAUCUCCAUCAGCUAGCACAGAGACUGCUUUCUUUUUGGUGCUGGUUGAGGGAUGUAUACAGCUGUGCACGGGCCUCUAAGCCUAAAAAAGAUCCUUCCAAAUAAUGGCCAGAUGAGGGUGGUUUAACCCAUGACCUGCAGCAGUCAGCAUUGCAGACUAAGGCUUAAAAUGACAUGAGGAACAACAUGGCAACUGUGAAGGUCCAGAUCCCCUUUGCACUCCAAGUGACAAGAGUUUUUUUUUUUUUUAUGCUUGUAACAUUUUAUGAUUUCCAAAAUGAAAGCUAUUGAUGGACGCUGAAGCUUUCUGAAAGGCUUUGGAGCAGAUGCUGAGCAAGGGUCUGAGGAAGGAUCAAGAUGCCAUUGCAUAAAGCUUGUCAAGCUGCUGCAGAUAUCUUGAACGGAAAUAAUUAACUCUUCAUGAAUAGUUAAACUGGGGGAGGUAAGAGGUGACUGCGUUCCGCAGCCAAAUAACUUUGUCCUGUGGGCUUUGCCACCAAGUUAGCUGCGUGUGGAAAGCAGGUCCCAUAGUUCUAGUCAAGCUGUGCAAAUACUCUGAGC
ensembl:lncRNA